rnacentral:rRNA from 1 species
GAUGAACGCUAGCGGCAGGCCUAACACAUGCAAGUCGAGGGGGAGGUUACUUUCGGGUAACUAAGACCGGCGUACGGGUGCGUAACGCGUAUACAAUCUGCCUUUCACUGGGGGAUAGCCCGAAGAAAUUUGGAUUAAUACCCCAUAGUAUAGUAAUACGGCAUCGUGAUGCUAUUAAAGCUUAGGUGGUGAAAGAUGAGUAUGCGUUCUAUUAGCUAGUUGGAGAGGUAACGGCUCCCCAAGGCGAUGAUAGAUAGGGGUUCUGAGAGGGAUGUCCCCCACACUGGUACUGAGAUACGGACCAGACUCCUACGGGAGGCAGCAGUGAGGAAUAUUGGACAAUGGUCGGAAGACUGAUCCAGCCAUGCCGCGUGCAGGAUGAAGGUCUUAUGGAUUGUAAACUGCUUUUGUAAGGGAAGAAUAAGGGCUACGCGUAGUUUGAUGACGGUACCUUACGAAUAAGCAUCGGCUAACUCCGUG